GAUGAACGCUGGCGGCGUGCCUAAUACAUGCAAGUCGAGCGAACAGACGAGGAGCUUGCUCCUUUGACGUUAGCGGCGGACGGGUGAGUAACACGUAGGUAACCUACCUAUAAGACUGGGAUAACUUCGGGAAACCGGAGCUAAUACCGGAUAAUAUUUCGAACCGCAUGGUUCGAUAGUGAAAGAUGGCUUUGCUAUCACUUAUAGAUGGACCUGCGCCGUAUUAGCUAGUUGGUAAGGUAACGGCUUACCAAGGCAACGAUACGUAGCCGACCUGAGAGGGUGAUAGGCCACACUGGAACUGAGACACGGUCCAGACUCCUACGGGGGGCAGCAGUAGGGAAUCUUCCGCAAUGGGCGAAAGCCUGACGGAGCAACGCCGCGUGAGUGAUGAAGGUCUUCGGAUCGUAAAACUCUGUUAUUAGGGAAGAACAAACGUGUAAGUAACUGUGCACGUCUUGACGGUACCUAAUCAGAAAGCCACGGCUAACUACGUG
rnacentral:rRNA from 1 species